CAGCAGCCGCGGGAAUACGAAGGGUGCAAGCGUUACUCGGAAUUACUGGGCGUAAAGCGUGCGUAGGUGGUGGUUUAAGUCCGUUGUGAAAGCCCUGGGCUCAACCUGGGAAUUGCAGUGGAUACUGGGUCACUAGAGUGUGGUAGAGGAUAGUGGAAUUUCCGGUGUAGCAGUGAAAUGCGUAGAGAUCGGAAGGAACAUCUGUGGCGAAGGCGACUAUCUGGGCCAACACUGACACUGAGGCACGAAAGCGUGGGGAGCAAACAGGAUUAGAUACCCCCGUAGUCCAUGUCUCUUAUAC
rnacentral:rRNA from 1 species